rnacentral:lncRNA from 1 species
GUCAGCUGUGGCGCAGGCGCAUGCGGCUCAGGUGCCGUGUGCACGGCAUUGUGGGAAAGCAACACAUGGCUACAGGACCAAGCCAGAAGGUCCAGCAGAGGGUCUGCCCGGACGCGGAGGCCACGUGACCCCACACCUGUCAAAGCUCACGGAGAGGGAGGCUUCGGGGGUAAAUGGUACCUGCCACGGUCAUCUGCAGUGGGGAGCCGUCCGCCCCAGGGCACCUCUCUGGUGGUCUGGUACACUGGCUCUUGUGGUCACUGGGUCUAGUGCCUGGAGGUCAGGUGGGAGGACUCCUGAGGCACCUGGGCCUGUGGGAGGGAGGCUCCCCCCACCCCAACUUGGGGAAGGCUGGUGCAGCGGGGACGGCAGACCCCCUGUGGGGUCAGGCCGCAGGUGGGCUUGAGGGAGACGCAGAGGGGCCUCGGAGCCAGCGCAGGACGGCGAGUAAGGACAGGGCAGGGCCAGCACAAGGGAGGGAGGAGAGGGUCUCCUGAUGAGGCCGACUUCCUGCUGGUCAAAAGUGCCCAUGGACACAACCAGGGACCCCAUCAGACAGACACGCUGUACUCGUGCCCCUAAACAGGGACCCAAUAGAAAAACUAAACAGACGCGUGGGCAGAGGGGACACCAGUCAAUAACAGGGAGGAGACCAGGGACAGGGAGGAGAAGGAGAGGAGGACCUUCAGAGACCACAGAAGGGACAGGCCAACCCACCAGACCCCCAGCUCUGGGCCCUUCCUCUGGAGAAGUCUGUCUCUGAGGCUUUUGCAAUGGACCUGCUGUUUGCCGGCCACUCCGUGUCCUGUCCUUCACUUCUUUGCUGAGGGGAGACAAUGACCCCCUAGACGGCAACAGGCUGUGAGGGGACAUCCUUGGGGACAUCCGUCCACAGGUCCCUGUCUCUACUGCGGGGCCCAGGUUUGCCCCCCCAGGGCUCCGUCCUCCCCACUCCAGGUCCUCCGGGGCCACCAAUCUGAUGUCUGUAGCUCUGUGGUGUCCCAGUGAGGUCUGCGGUCCUGGGAGGGAGUUGGGUGCCUCUGUGAGGUGGUCCGGCCACUCAGCCCUCGGUUCCUUGCUCAGUCCUCAGCACCACUGUCCUUCAAUGGGGCUUGGAUACAGGGCUGCAGGGACGGUGACUCGGCUCUGUGUGGGCACUGUCCCUACACCUUGUGCCUGCAUCCCUACAUUCCCAGGCUCUCCCCCUGACCCCAGUCCUCUCCAGUGAAUGACAGUGGAGCCUCCAUCUUGCCCCGGGGGCUGUCCAGGCCUGUCCUGCAGCCCCGGUUCCCGGCCCUCCUCCUGCCUCCUGUCUCAGACGUGCUGGGAGCCGGUGUGCUGCUCAGGGCCUCCCAGGGAGCAGACCCCAGGGCAGGACCAGACCGGGCCGCGGCCCCUGGCCUUGAGCUGCUCCAGGGUUGAGCUCAGCGGCAGCUGCUGGAGAGUCCCUGACCCCAUGGCAAGCGCAGAGGUCCAGGAGAUGGGAACAGCACAACCGCUAAGCCCUGCCCGGCAGUCGUGAGGAGGCCAAGGAGGAGCCCAGGCCCCACCCUGUGACUUCUUCUUUUCAAGGGCUGUGACACGUUAGCAGAGGAUUGUCCAUAAAAAGGUACCGCCGAAAUAUUUAAAAAGGUUGGAAUCAUGCAGGGAACACUGUCCACCCCAGGGGCUGUGUGCGGGUCUGUGGGCCUGACUAGAACGCACGUGCAGGUUUGGUGUUGGGAAGGUCUCGUUUGGCGUGGAGUUGAAGGCUGCACCUGCGAGAUGGUGACGCUUGGCCAUUUUUACUCUGAAGGCAGCGAUUCAGAG